AACCCGCCGCCGCGCUGGGCCCUCUCCAGUGGGCCCUCACCUGGGACCGCUGGCUGCCCCUCCGGAUUCCUCUGGGCGGGGCCGGGAGGCCCGCGCCCACCUCCGCCCGGUCGCUUCAAAGUGGGAAACCGAGGCUGAGAGAGGAAGACGGGCCUGGCCCGGGGUCACACGGACUGUCGGAAGCCAGGUGGAGCUGGAACCCAGGCCUCUCAGCCCUUGCUCUUCCUCCCUUGCACAGGAAGGCACAACCUGUCUCCAGACCCUAAUGGCACAGGGGCUGGCAUGCAGAGGGUGCUGAAGGUUGUCGAUUGACUGAAGAGAGCGAGACCACGAGAGCACCCCUCAUGUACAUGCACUUUACGCUGGUAUGUCAUUCACCCCACCAGUGCCCCUACAAAGAGGAAGCCAAGGCUCUGAAAGAUGAAACCAUUAGACUCAAGUCAUCUGACAGGGAGGCAAUGGAGCUGACUCUCAUGAAGCCCUAAGUGGAUGCUGACUACACAGAAAGAGUCCACCAUUGAGAAUCAGGCUCUAGACAUGCACUGCCUGGAGGAGGACCCAGCCCCGCCACACCCAAGCAGGGUGACUGUGGAUACAUCUCUUAAUUUGUCCAAGCUUCAGCUUCUCCAUCUGCAAACUGGGGCUGAUAAUAAGAUAUAACUCACAGCGUUGACCUGAGGAUUAAAGGAGAUAAUUCAAGCUCUCAGCAGUGCCUGGACCAAAGGAAAAAUACCCCAAAGGCGAGUAUUAUUAUGUUUAUUAUUGUAUCAUCUUGUCCUUUCUUGUCUCUCAGAAAUGUCAGGUCAAUUCACCUUGCAGUGAAAAGUAAGAGGAAAAAUCAACCCCUCCUGGAUGCCUGUUAGUGCGAAGCUACAAUAACACCACUCAUGAUUUUCGGAGCCGUGGCUAUGCAGCAUAAGCCACUCAUUGCUGCAUGAACCUGACUCACCAAACGAGGCAGUUGGGGCAGGGGAGUGCUGUAACCAAGCUGUGUGUGAAUGUGCCACUGUGCUGUCACUCAGGAACAGGCCUAACUACUGCCACGUCCACUGUGCCACAGGUAGCGACAGAUGUUGGGCCGGCUCACAUGAGGGUAGGAAGGGGUCUGAAACAGCCUAAGCCCACUGCUUCCCAGACAGCUGGUCUGCCCACCAUGACUUAUUUCUCUGUUUCAAUCUUGGCUUGGAAGGCAUUCAGGACAGCCUUAGUUCACUGACCAAGGUUGCUGUGAAUGCUAGAAUUCUCUGGAUAAGCUUUACCACCAGCACCUCUGAGACCUUCUAUGUGCUUGCCCCUUGUCAAGGACUGUGAUGGGUCUGGGGUUUUACCCUACUUGCAAACCAACAAGCAAGCCUGCCACAGUUUCAUGCAUGCUGCCAGAAGAUAGGAGAUUCCUGGGUCAGCGACAAUGGACCUUAUUACUCAGUAAACAGCAUGAUUAUCAGCAUGUUGACAUCAGUCCUCUUGUCCCCAAUUCCCAUGGGGGUGGCACCAAUGGCCUAGACAGAUGCCUGCACAGAGUGGACUGUGGUAUGGGAGAGGACUCUAAAAUUAAGACCCAAGUCUUUUCUAAUGGCUGCCCUUUUCUCUGGAGGGAGAUUCUGUCCCCAUCUUCCAUGGCUAUUCACUGUACCAACAUCCUUGAGAAGAGAGUCCAGGACAAAGGCUGUCAGUGCCUUGCUUGCAAAAUGUGCAGAACCUCAAGAGACCCCUGGAGAAUUGUCUUACAAUAAGAUCCACCGCUCAUUUCUACACUGUCUUGACUUUUGGCAAAUUUUCCCAUGAGUUCACCACUCUGUUGGCAAAUAUGAUCAAAAGAGGCUAGAACCAAAUCUGUUCAAUAUGUCACAUACAGAAUUUAAUUAAAGCUACUAUCCAUGGGACUCCAAGCAGCAGGAUGAAGCCAAUUUGCAGUACUGACCUCAACCAUGCCUCCCAGCUGAACAAAUCCAUAUUGCAUCAGAUCUACCUUAGAAAGCCAGGUUGCUUGCUCCUUGGUUCUCUGUAUCAACCUUGGCCUGGAAGGCAUUCAGGACAGCCUCAAUUCACUGAUCAAGAUUGCUGUGUAUGACAGAAUUCUCCUGGAUUUAUUCCUUGCAGGCCAGAGUCUGUGCAAUUAAUAUAUCCUGCUGUACCUGGAUUAAUGCUUCCAGCCAUGAGUAAUAAAGUCCUUUGUCUCUGACCCAGGAAUCGCCUGUCUUCUGCAUGCAUGAACCUGUGGCAAGCUCACAUGUUAGUUUGCAAGUAGGCUAAAGUCAAGGAUAAAUUUCAAGUCCCUCUGUUUUCAGGAGAGAGACAAGUUAAUGGGUGACUUCUGUAUAAGUCAUACAGUCUCAAGGGUGCACAUGGUGUUUCUGGGAAGAAACAUGGUGCCCCCAAGUGUGACCUACAUCAGUUAUGGGGUGCCAAGGUUGACAGUGCCUCCAGUGUGGCCUCUCUGCAUGUUGGUAGGCCUUAGGGGUCCCAGUCCAACUGAGGCCAGUCCUUGUUUUUGGAGGGCCUGGCUAAGGGCAGUUAGUCCAAUCUGUCCUGUUUGUCCAGGCCACCAGCCAGAUGGCAUUCAUGCACCCCAUGGCAUGACAGAGUGGUAAUGGCUCCAGGACUGGCAAUGGGGACGAUAGCUGGGGGUGAUGGUGUUACCAGGUAUUUUAUGUGACAGGUACAGGAGCUGAGGCUACCCUCUGCUGCUUCCAAUCUCUUGGAAAAGAUAAGCAGAAUGGCAAUCAAAUCAAGGUCAGAACUGCCUACAGGAGCACUGCAGACCCAGCAGUCUGAUAAAUUUAAGUCACUUGCAACAGUUUGAGAGAAUUGGACCUGGAUGUUUUCCUCCAUGAAGAAGGCUCCAGGUGAUUCGGCAAGACAAAGGUUACACAUUUCUUUCUUUCCCCCAUAUCUCCUGGGGUCUGAGGUGUUCCCUCCCCAGGUGCCAAGGUUGCUGUUCUCCCUCUACGGCCACAAAAUCGAUGUGUUCCAUUCCAGGAGUUAGAACUUCAACUUUUUUCCAAUCUCCCCCUACUCACACCUUUCAUCUGCAAGGAUCAGGGGACAAAGACGUUUUUAUAAAACAUACAGGGAUCCAUUAGGUCCCCCAUCCUACACAUGGGCCACAGUUGGGGGACUCAGAGAGAGAGGUGUACACACCAGCACUCCAGUUAUUCUGAUGCAGGACUGUGUCUGUCCAACAAGAGAAUCCAAGUGGCUGAACAAUAAUAUAGUGAGAAUCACCUAAACCCUUUUCUGACUGGGCUGCCACCUGGAAUUGCAGCAACCAGGCUGGCCUGGGGUUGCUGUUAAGGGAAAGAAAGAAGCAUUAUGUCUAGGAAUAGUGAGUGUGGAACCCUAAAUUUUCAAAACUGGUCUAUGUAAACCCUACCCCUCUCAUCUUGAUCAUUACAAAGGACACAGCCUAGGGGAGAUGGUCCCAUCCUGGAGACAGCCACAUUCAGUGACUGAACUGCCAUAUGGAGGUGUGGGGACCUGGAGGGAGAGUCAGAAAUUUCUUUGAGUUAAUUUUUGAGGAUCACCAUGAUAAUGGAUGAUAGGGAGCAUGGAAGGACCACCAAAUACCUAGAUUAUCAUAUUGAGUGGCUUUUGAGAUAAAAGAUGCACUAUUGUUAGACCAUUGGUCCAGAAAGCCAAAAACAAUACACAGAUUAGUCUCAAGAACCACAAUCGUGUUAUCAAAGUUGGCUGGUUGGCCUGGAACAGCACCAUUGUACCCUCAGAAAGUGUAAGACACCAGCCAUAGCCCCAAGGAGUCAAAGGUCCCAUGCAGUCAAUCUCUCAAGAGCAGGCAGGGGCAACACCACAUACACUGUGGUCUCCUUCAUUGCAGGACAAACAGAUGAACUUUUGGCAGAAAUCACAAAUCUUGCAUGGAGUUGUGGCCUCUGCAUCAGAAGUGUAGAGUCCUUUACUUUGUGCCCAUUCUGUGAUGGUAGACAUGUUGCCAUAUCUGUAUGAUGAUGGAUCCAGACAUAAAUGGAGACAGUCUGGGCAGUGGAGGCUCGAUCAACAGCUUGAUCCCUAUAAUCUUAUCAGAGAAUGAGCCCUUAGCAGGGGCAUCUGUGUAAGAGCUCUAGAUGGUUUGAUCAGUCAUGAUUUGUUUCCACAGUUAGCUGAGAACAUUGCCAUCUAAAGCCCUCUAUUGGGUGGCAGAGUACUGAUAUCUGUCUCACAUUUGGGGACUCCUUGACUCAGCAACCACAGCCACAUUGCUUUCCAGCUCGGGCUGCAAAUUCGUACUGUUCAGCUGACCUGGGUUUGAGUUGGUCAGUCUAACUAAAGAUUUGGCAAUUUAAAGAACUAACUUGUGGGUGAGUUGAUUUUCUCUAAUCUUUAUUCUAGCCUUCCUUCUACUUGCUUUGAGUUUAGCUUACUUUUAUUUUUCUAGUUUCUUAAGGUGGAAGAUUAGGUGAUUUGAGACUUUUUUCCUUUUAAACAUAAGAAUAUGCAACUAUAAAUUUCCCUCUAAGCACUGCUUUGGCUGCAUCUCACAAAUUUUGGUAUGUUGUGUUUUCAUCUUCAUUAAUCUCAAAGUAGUUUCUAAUUUCCUGUGUGACUUCUUCUAUGAUCCAUUAAUUAUUUAAGAUGAUGUUGUUUAACUUCCAUGUAUUUGUGAAUUUUCCAAAUUUCCUUCUAUUAUUGAUUGCUAAUUUCAUUCCACUACAGCCUGAGAACACACUUUGUAUGAUUUCAACCCUUUUAAAUGUAUUGAGACUGUUUUAUGGUCUAAUAUAUGGUCUAUCCUGGAGAAUGCUCCAUGCAUAUUUGAGAAGAAUAUAACUUCUGCUGUUGUUGGGUGGAGUGUUAUAUAGAUGUCUGUCAGGACUUGGGCUUGACUUGAACAGCUGUGACUUUUCUUUUAAAGGAGACUACCUUGAUAGAGGGUAUUUCUGUCCCACUGUCAUAAUAACAACUCAUUUUUUUUUAAUUGCAAUAUAGUCAGUUACAAUGUAUCAACUUCUGGUGUACAGCACAAUGUCCUAGUCAUGCAUAUGCAUACAUACAUUUGUUUUCAUAUUUUUUAUUGAUGGUUAUUGCCAAGAUACUGAAUGUAGUUCCCUGUGCUAUACAGAAGAAAUUUGUUUUUAAAUCUAUUUUCUCUCUCUCAUUGUCUCUCUUUUUUAUUUUGCUGCGGGAGGUAAUUAGGUUUAUUUAUUUUUAGAGGAGCUACUGGGAGUUGACUCCUGGACCUCAUGCAUGAUAAGCAUGCACUCUACCACUUGAACUAUACCCUCCCCUCCUUUUUUAAAUCUAUUUUUCUAUAUAGUGGCUAACAUUUGCAAAUCUCAAACUCCCAAAUUUAUCCCUUCCCAUCCCCUUUCCCCCGGCAACCAUAAGAUUGUUUACUAUGUCUGUGAUUUUGUUUCUGUUUUGUAGAGGAGUUCAUUAGUGUCCUCUUUUUCUCUUUUUUUUAGAUUCCACAUAUGAGUGAUAUCAGAUGGUAUUUUUCUUUCUCUUUCUGGCUUACUUCACUUAGAAUGACAGUCUCUAAAUUUGACACAACAUUAUAAAAUGACUAUAACU